AAACUCACUUCCUUGACAACUUCCUCGAAGCGCAAGAAGUAUGAAUGCCCUGACUUCUGCAGAGGCCAUGUCACCGUAAAUGCAGACAUCGGAUUGACCAUUCAGCGCCUUUCACUGGCUGACACUUUUGCAUGACCAUAACUGACUGACAAAAUGUCAUGAUUGCCACAGCCCUAGCCACGACACGUCCGGAAAUCGCAGGACAGUGGAGGGGUCUAGCAGAAAUGUCGCAGACUUCCGGAUGACAAGAUUAUGCAGACAAUUCGCAUAUUUAACAGUCUUCCAACGACCUUCAACCACCCCACCACCACCAACUGAAGGCCCAUCAUCGGAUCCCCGUUCUCCCAGUGGGUUCCGAUACCAGCUGCCCAGGGCAACCUGUCAUCAGCAUCUGGCUCUGAGGAGCAUUCCUCGGAGACGAGGCCUACCCCAAACUAUUCAAUAAAAUUCCAUAUUGUA